rnacentral:lncRNA from 1 species
GGUUAGGGUAAACUAUUAAGAUUUAAACUUACUCAUUUUUCCUUCCACCAUGGGGCUUGCACCCGUCACUUGUGUCUUGAGCAGUUAAAAGAUAGAACGGUCUAGUCAAGCGUCAUGUCUCUUGUUCUUCGAUUAACUAUAGCUCUGAAGUUUUUGCAGAUUUUCAAAUAAAACUCAGAGAUUCCUUAUAUGACUCUCUCUAGUCUCUCUUUUGUGGUAUUUCUGGAUCCUUACCAAGGCAGUAAUAGUGUAUGCCUUCUCUCAAAGUAUGUGGUAUUUUUGGUAUGAGGCAUAGUGACAUUGCCUUCUCUCUCACCCUACUCUAAUAAGGUUUUGAUAUCUGGAGCUCAUAGGUGGGAGAUAGCUAAUACAUACUUACAAGACAUUUAUUGCAUAGUCAAACCAUGGAUCCAGAAGAACAAGUCAAUAAGUCAAAUCAAGAUGUGCAUGUGUGGCGAAUGAAUGGUGUAUGGUGAUGAUGGUGAUAACAAUGGUGAAAGUCCAAUUCUACUUAUGCUCUUUUGAGAGGAUACAUACCUUUCUUGCUCUUUUGAAACUUUUUGAGGAGAAUGAGAUGCUCUAUAUUUUCUUUUUCUUUUCUCUCAGGUGGGUAUCUUGUACCCCUAAUUCUACUAUCGGACACUUGUCCAUUUUUACCUCUCGUCUCACUUUUUCUUUUCCUUCGAGGUUCCGGGCACUUGCCCCUUUUUAUUUCCUCGUAUCUUUUUUUUCUCUCUCUCUUCUUUUUUUAGAGCACUCAUCACUUGAAAUAAUGUAACAAGUGGUAGUAACCAAGAUAACUUGAGCAUUUAUUUCACAGAGGAAAACAGAAAUGAUUUUGGCUAUUCUCUCCCGGAUUAGGAGUAGAAUAUUUUUGGGUGGUUUUGGAGAUGGAAAUGGGUUGAUAUAUGUGGAUGCGUACUUCCGGAGUAGAAGCAGCAUGUGUGAAUGAACGUGCAAGUGAAUCUUAAUUUAACCACAUGACAAGCUCCUAAGGGUCUACACAGCUUGACCACACUCAAUGCUCAUAAGCAGUAAAAAGUAAAUGUGUGGCUCAAAGUCUAGCAAGCAUGUAUAUAUGGCUGUGGUAGGAAUUUAAACUCUCAUCAUACAGGAACUCUUCAUGUGUUAUUUUAAAGAUUUUCAAAGAUAAACUUCUCCAGUUUUCUAGCAUCUCUAGGAACAGAUAAACAGCAGCUCAACCUUCCCAUGUCGUAUCCGUUAACGACUUAGACUUUAGAUCAAGUACUCUUCCCACAAGUUCAGGUUUAGAGCAAUGCUUAAUUAAUAACAAUCAUGCCUAAACUUGAGAGAGAUUUCAAUUUUGAGAAUUAGUCAUGGCAGAGCAACUAUUCAUCAUUUCCAUGUGAGAGCUAUCAUGAGGGUUCAUAGCAGACUUUAUUUAUUUAUUUAUUUAGCAAACUAAACAAAUAUACAUAUAAGCACAAAAUCUUUAUUUGGGUUUUUAUGAUUAUACAUCUUUUUAUUAUUUGAGUAAAGU